rnacentral:misc_RNA from 1 species
GAUGAAGAACGCAGCGAAAUGCGAUAAGUAAUGUGAAUUGCAGAAUUCAGUGAAUCAUCGAAUCUUUGAACGCACCUUGCGCCCUUUGGACAUUCCGAAGGGCAUGCCUGUUUGAGUAUCAUGAACACCUCAACUCUCACGGCUUGUCCGUGAUGAGCUUGGACUUUGGGGGUCUUGCCGGCCUGUGGUCGGCUCCUCUCAAAUGGAUCAGCUUGCCAGUGUUUGGUGGCAUCACAGGUGUGAUAACUAUCUGCGCUUGUGGUUUUCCAUCAGAUAACCUUCAGUGAUAUGGAGGUUCGCUGGAGCUCACAAAUGUCUCUCCUUAGUGAGGACAGCUCUUUGAACGUUUGAUCUCAAAUCAGGUAGGACUACCCGCUGAACUUAAGCAUAUCAAUAAGGGAGGA